UGAAUACGAGACGCUAAGGCGUCGAAGUAGUGUAUGUCAUACUUCCAAGAAAAGCUUGCACUGUCAUAAGUAAAAAAUGCCUGUACCAUAACCGACACAGGUGGGUAGGUAGAGUAUACUAAGGGGCGCGAGAUAACUCUCUCUAAGGAACUCGGCAAAAUAACUCCGUAACUUCGGGAGAAGGAGUACCUUAUUCUAUAAGGUUGCAAUAACAAGAUCCAAGCAACUGUUUAUCAAAAACACAGGUCUCCGCUAAGUCGUAAGACGAUGUAUGGGGGCUGACGCCUGCCCAGUGCCAGAAGGUUAAAGAAGUCGGUUAGCAUUAGCGAAGCUGGUAACUGAAGCCCUGGUGAACGGCGGCCGUAACUAUAACGGUCCUAAGGUAGCGAAAUUCCUUGUCGGGUAAGUUCCGACCCGCACGAAAGGCGUAAUGAUUUGGAUACUGUCUCGGAGAGGGGCUCGGUGAAAUAGACUUGUCUGUGAAGAUGCGGACUACCUGCACCAGGACAGAAAGACCCUAUGAAGCUUUACUGUAACUUGAAAUUGAAAUUGGACUUUAUUCGCGCAGUAUAGGUGGGAGGUGUUGAUUAUAAUCUUGCGGGAUUAUUGGAGCCAUCAGUGAGAUACCACUCUUGUAAUGUUAGAUUUCUAACUUUGAAUCAUUAUCUGGUCAAAGGACAGUUUCAGGCGGGCAGUUUGACUGGGGCGGUCGCCUCCCAAACGGUAACGGAGGCGUACAAAGGUUUCCUCUGAACGGGUAGAAAUCGUAUCUAGAGUGUAAAGGCAUAAGGAAGCUUGACUGUGAGACCUACAAGUCGAACAGGGACGAAAGUCGGUCUUAGUGAUCUGACGGUACUGAGUGGAAAGGCCGUCACUCAACGGAUAAAAGUUACUCUAGGAUAACAGGCUGAUCUCCCCCAAGAGUUCACAUCGACGGGGAGGUUUGGCACCUCGAUGUCGGCUCAUCGCAUCCUGGGGCGGUAGUACGUCCCAAGGGUUGGGCUGUUCGCCCAUGAAAGCGGUACGCGAGCUGGGUUCAGAACGUCGUGAGACAGUUCGGUCCAUAUCCGGUGUAGGCGUUAGAAUAUUGAGAGGAGCCUUCUUUAGUACGAGAGGACCGAGAAGGACAUACCUCUGGUGUACCAGCUAUCGUGCCAACGGUAAACGCUGGGUAGCUAUGUAUGGAGUGGAUAACCGCUGAAAGCAUCUAAGUGGGAAGCCCACCUCAAGAUAAGUAUUCGC
rnacentral:rRNA from 1 species